rnacentral:rRNA from 1 species
GAUGAACGCUAGCGACAGGCUUAACACAUGCAAGUCGAGGGGCAGCACAGGUAGCAAUACCGGGUGGCGACCGGCGCACGGGUGAGUAACGCGUAUGCAACUUACCUAUCAGAGGGGGAUAACCCGGCGAAAGUCGGACUAAUACCGCAUGAAGCAGGGGCCCCGCAUGGGGAUAUUUGCUAAAGAUUCAUCGCUGAUAGAUAGGCAUGCGUUCCAUUAGGCAGUUGGCGGGGUAACGGCCCACCAAACCGACGAUGGAUAGGGGUUCUGAGAGGAAGGUCCCCCACAUUGGUACUGAGACACGGACCAAACUCCUACGGGAGGCAGCAGUGAGGAAUAUUGGUCAAUGGGCGUAAGCCUGAACCAGCCAAGUCGCGUGAGGGAUGAAGGUUCUAUGGAUCGUAAACCUCUUUUAUAAGGGAAUAAAGUGCGGGACGUGUCCCGUUUUGUAUGUACCUUAUGAAUAAGGAUCGGCUAACUCCGUGCCAGCAGCCGCGGUAAUACGGAGGAUCCGAGCGUUAUCCGGAUUUAUUGGGUUUAAAGGGUGCGUAGGCGGCCUUUUAAGUCAGCGGUGAAAGUCUGUGGCUCAACCAUAGAAUUGCCGUUGAAACUGGGGGGCUUGAGUAUGUUUGAGGCANGCGGAAU